rnacentral:rRNA from 1 species
CUGCUAUCGGAUUGAUACUAAGCCAUGCGAGUCAUUGUAGCAAUACAAGGCAUACGGCUCAGUAACGCGUAGUCAACCUAACCUAUGGACGGGAAUAACCUCGGGAAACUGAGAAUAAUGCCCGAUAGAACAUUAUGCCUGGAAUGGUUUAUGUUCCAAAUGAUUUAUCGCCGUAGGAUGGGACUGCGGCCUAUCAGUUUGUUGGUGAGGUAAUGGCCCACCAAGACUAUUACAGGUACGGGCUCUGAGAGGAGUAGCCCGGAGAUGGGUACUGAGACACGGACCCAGGCCCUAUGGGGCGCAGCAGGCGAGAAAACUUUGCAAUGUGCGAAAGCACGACAAGGUUAAUCCGAGUGGUUUCUGCUAAAGGAACCUUUUGUCAGUCCUAGAAACACUGAUGAAUAAGGGGUGGGCAAGUUCUGGUGUCAGCCGCCGCGGUAAAACCAGCACCUCAAGUGGUCAGGAUGAUUAUUGGGCCUAAAGCAUCCGUAGCCGGCUCUGUAAGUUUUCGGUUAAAUCUGUACGCUCAACGUACAGGCUGCCGGGAAUACUGCAAAGCUAGGGAGUGGGAGAGGUAGACGGUACUCGGUAGGAAGGGGUAAAAUCCUUUGAUCUAUUGAUGACCACCUGUGGUGAAGGCGGUCUACCAGAACACGUCCGACGGUGAGGGAUGAAAGCUGGGGGAGCAAACCGGAUUAGAUACCCGGGUAGUCCCAGCUGCAAACCAUGCAAACUCAGUGAUGCAUUGGCUUGUGGCCAAUGCAGUGCUGCAGGGAAGCCGUUAAGUUUGCCGCCUGGGAAGUACGUACGCAAGUAUGAAACUUAAAGGAAUUGGCGGGGGAGCACCACAAGGGGUGAAGCCUGCGG